CACGUGGACAACCUGCCCUAAGGUGGAGCAUAACCCCGGGAAACUGGGGAUAAUACUCCAUAGGUUAUGGAUGCUGGAAUGCUUCAUAACUCAAAGCUCCGGCGCCUUAGGAUGGAUCUGCGGUCGAUUAGGUUGUUGUUGGGGUAACGGCCCAACAAGCCUGUAAUCGAUACGGGUUGUGGGAGCAAGAGCCCGGAGAUGGAAUCUGAGACACGAUUCCAGGCCCUACGGGGCGCAGCAGGCGCGAAAACUUUACAAUGCAGGAAACUGUGAUAAGGGAACCCCGAGUGCCCGUAUACGCGGGCUGUCCAGGUGUGUAAAAAGCACCUGAAGAAAGGGCCGGGCAAGACCGGUGCCAGCCGCCGCGGUAAUACCGGCGGCUCGAGUGGUGGCCACUUUUAUUGGGCUUAAAGCGUCCGUAGCUGGACUCCUAAGUCCCUUGGGAAAUCUCUUGGCUUAACCAAGAGGCGUCUAAGAGAUACUGGGAGUCUAGGGACCGGGAGAGGUGAGAGGUACUCCGGGGGUAGGAGUGAAAUCCUGUAAUCCCCGGGGGACCACCUGUGGCGAAGGC
rnacentral:rRNA from 1 species